rnacentral:rRNA from 1 species
AGCACGUAGGUGGGUUUGUAAGUCAGACGUGAAAGCCUUCUGUUCAACGGAAGAAUUGCAUCUGAAACUACAAACCUUGAGUGUAGGAGGGGAGAAUGGAACUUCUGGUGGAGCGGUGAAAUGCGUAGAUAUCAGAAGGAACGCCGGCGGCGAAAGCGAUUCUCUGGCCUAUUACUGACACUCAGUGUGCGAAAGCUAGGGGAGCAAGCGGGAUUAGAUACCCCGGUAGUCCUAGCCGUAAACGAUGGGCACUAAGUAGAGGGG